GGGGACGGAGAAGGCUAUGUUGGCCGGGCGACGGUUGUCCCGGUUUAAGCGUGUAGGCUGGUUUUCCAGGCAAAUCCGGAAAAUCAAGGCUGAGGCGUGAUGACGAGGCACUACGGUGCUGAAGCAACAAAUGCCCUGCUUCCAGGAAAAGCCUCUAAGCAUCAGGUAACAUCAAAUCGUACCCCAAACCGACACAGGUGGUCAGGUAGAGAAUACCAAGGCGCUUGAGAGAACUCGGGUGAAGGAACUAGGCAAAAUGGUGCCGUAACUUCGGGAGAAGGCACGCUGAUAUGUAGGUGAAGUCCCUCGCGGAUGGAGCUGAAAUCAGUCGAAGAUACCAGCUGGCUGCAACUGUUUAUUAAAAACACAGCACUGUGCAAACACGAAAGUGGACGUAUACGGUGUGACGCCUGCCCGGUGCCGGAAGGUUAAUUGAUGGGGUCAGCGCAAGCGAAGCUCUUGAUCGAAGCCCCGGUAAACGGCGGCCGUAACUAUAACGGUCCUAAGGUAGCGAAAUUCCUUGUCGGGUAAGUUCCGACCUGCACGAAUGGCGUAAUGAUGGCCAGGCUGUCUCCACCCGAGACUCAGUGAAAUUGAACUCGCUGUGAAGAUGCAGUGUACCCGCGGCAAGACGGAAAGACCCCGUGAACCUUUACUAUAGCUUGACACUGAACAUUGAGCCUUGAUGUGUAGGAUAGGUGGGAGGCUUUGAAGUGUGGACGCCAGUCUGCAUGGAGCCGACCUUGAAAUACCACCCUUUAAUGUUUGAUGUUCUAACGUGGACCCGUGAUCCGGGUUGCGGACAGUGUCUGGUGGGUAGUUUGACUGGGGCGGUCUCCUCCUAAAGAGUAACGGAGGAGCACGAAGGUUGGCUAAUCCUGGUCGGACAUCAGGAGGUUAGUGCAAUGGCAUAAGCCAGCUUGACUGCGAGCGUGACGGCGCGAGCAGGUGCGAAAGCAGGUCAUAGUGAUCCGGUGGUUCUGAAUGGAAGGGCCAUCGCUCAACGGAUAAAAGGUACUCCGGGGAUAACAGGCUGAUACCGCCCAAGAGUUCAUAUCGACGGCGGUGUUUGGCACCUCGAUGUCGGCUCAUCACAUCCUGGGGCUGAAGUAGGUCCCAAGGGUAUGGCUGUUCGCCAUUUAAAGUGGUACGCGAGCUGGGUUUAGAACGUCGUGAGACAGUUCGGUCCCUAUCUGCCGUGGGCGCUGGAGAACUGAGGGGGGCUGCUCCUAGUACGAGAGGACCGGAGUGGACGCAUCACUGGUGUUCGGGUUGUCAUGCCAAUGGCACUGCCCGGUAGCUAAAUGCGGAAGAGAUAAGUGCUGAAAGCAUCUAAGCACGAAACUUGCCCCGAGAUGAGUUCUCCCUGACCCUUUAAGGGUCCUGAAGGAACGUUGAAGACGACGACGUUGAUAGGCCGGGUGUGUAAGCGCAGCGAUGCGUUGAGCUAACCGGUACUAAUGAACCGUGAGGCUUAACCUUACAACGCCGAAGGUGUUU
rnacentral:rRNA from 1 species